rnacentral:rRNA from 1 species
ACAGCCCCGUACACAAAAAUGCACAUAUUGUGAGCUCGAUGAGUAGGGCGGGACACGUGGUAUCCUGUCUGAAUAUGGGGGGACCAUCCUCCAAGGCUAAAUACUCCUGACUGACCGAUAGUGAACCAGUACCGUGAGGGAAAGGCGAAAAGAACCCCGGCGAGGGGAGUGAAAAAGAACCUGAAACCGUGUACGUACAAGCAGUGGGAGCACGCUCAGGCGUGUGACUGCGUACCUUUUGUAUAAUGGGUCAGCGACUUAUAUUCUGUAGCAAGGUUAACCGAAUAGGGGAGCCGAAGGGAAACCGAGUCUUAACUGGGCGUUAAGUUGCAGGGUAUAGACCCGAAACCCGGUGAUCUAGCCAUGGGCAGGUUGAAGGUUGGGUAACACUAACUGGAGGACCGAACCGACUAAUGUUGAAAAAUUAGCGGAUGACUUGUGGCUGGGGGUGAAAGGCCAAUCAAACCGGGAGAUAGCUGGUUCUCCCCGAAAGCUAUUUAGGUAGCGCCUCGUGAAUUCAUCUCCGGGGGUAGAGCACUGUUUCGGCAAGGGGGUCAUCCCGACUUACCAACCCGAUGCAAACUGCGAAUACCGGAGAAUGUUAUCACGGGAGACACACGGCGGGUGCUAACGUCCGUCGUGAAGAGGGAAACAACCCAGACCGCCAGCUAAGGUCCCAAAGUCAUGGUUAAGUGGGAAACGAUGUGGGAAGGCCCAGACAGCCAGGAUGUUGGCUUAGAAGCAGCCAUCAUUUAAAGAAAGCGUAAUAGCUCACUGGUCGAGUCGGCCUGCGCGGAAGAUGUAACGGGGCUAAACCAUGCACCGAAGCUGCGGCAGCGACACUAUGUGUUGUUGGGUAGGGGAGCGUUCUGUAAGCCUGCGAAGGUGUACUGUGAGGUAUGCUGGAGGUAUCAGAAGUGCGAAUGCUGACAUAAGUAACGAUAAAGCGGGUGAAAAGCCCGCUCGCCGGAAGACCAAGGGUUCCUGUCCAACGUUAAUCGGGGCAGGGUGAGUCGACCCCUAAGGCGAGGCCGAAAGGCGUAGUCGAUGGGAAACAGGUUAAUAUUCCUGUACUUGGUGUUACUGCGAAGGGGGGACGGAGAAGGCUAUGUUGGCCGGGCGACGGUUGUCCCGGUUUAAGCGUGUAGGCUGGUUUUCCAGGCAAAUCCGGAAAAUCAAGGCUGAGGCGUGAUGACGAGGCACUACGGUGCUGAAGCAACAAAUGCCCUGCUUCCAGGAAAAGCCUCUAAGCAUCAGGUAACAUCAAAUCGUACCCCAAACCGACACAGGUGGUCAGGUAGAGAAUACCAAGGCGCUUGAGAGAACUCGGGUGAAGGAACUAGGCAAAAUGGUGCCGUAACU